UACAGAGGGUGCGAGCGUUGUCCGGAAUCACUGGGCGUAAAGGGCGCGUAGGCGGUGGCUUAAGCGUGCGGUGAAAGCUCGGGGCUCAACCCCGAGUCGGCCGUGCGAACUGGGCUCACUGGAGCAUAGUAGAGGCAGGUGGAAUUCCGGGUGUAGCGGUGGAAUGCGUAGAGAUCCGGAAGAACACCGGUGGCGAAGGCGGCCUGCUGGGCUAUGGCUGACACUGAGGCGCGAAAGCGUGGGGAGCAAACAGG
rnacentral:rRNA from 1 species